AUUAAACUCAGCGUGUUUCAGCUCCUUUAAUGGGGUAUAUUGUAUGUCCUAGAAUUAGGACGGCUGUUUGUAAUUGACUGACAGUUUUGUUUUGGGGGAUGUCAUUACUUGCCCAAACAAGCUUUAAGGGAUUGCAGUGAUGACAUAACAUAGGAUUUGAUGGUCGUCAUCACCUAGGGCCGCAUCCCUGACUCCUCCAGAGGUGGCAGGUGGGAUAAUGGCUCUUGUCGGUCCAGACUCCACAUGGCCACUCAAGUGACCUAAGGCCACUUCAUGGCCCAGGACACUCAACUUGUUGGUUGGGUGGCCUAUAUUAGGGACUAAAAGACGUCAUUUUCUAAAGGGGUCUGGGAUGGGAUGGUAACUGCCGUCUAUGGCUCAGGAGUUGUGAAGGCUGACCUUCAAUUUUACAAACUGUGACAAUUGAAUCUUUUAAAUGAAGCUACAUUACUAUAUGUGUAUUUCAUCUUUGCCCAUUCAUUUUUAAUCCUCAUUUGUUCCUGUUGAGUUUGUCCUUCAUUAUCCAAUGCCAUUUCUGGAUAAAACCUUAAGGUCUCACAUUGACCCGGGCCAAGGAGUGAGGCGCAACAGUGAACAGCUCGUUACCUCCAGCCAGUCUAGGAACUCGAACACAUCCAAGAUGGCGGCCGCUGGAUGAGGAAGUCGCGGCCAUUUGUGUGGACGGGAAAUAAGUCGGUGACAUGAUGUACCAUCUUCCUGAGGCAGUGGACCAGAAGGUAUGACACUGUAGACACUGGGAAGAAUACUUUACUACCAUCACCAAGUGGCAUCAUCAACAUAACCAGCCAACUGAAGUUAACCUGAGAUGGACACAAACUUCACCUGCUGCUGUAUGGGAAGUCCAUUGUGACUAA